GGUUCAGUGGUAGAAUGCUCGCCUUCCACGCGGGCGGCCCGGGUUCGUUUCCCGUG
rnacentral:tRNA from 1 species